rnacentral:rRNA from 1 species
CCUACGGGUGGCUGCAGUGGGGAAUAUUGGACAAUGGGCGAAAGCCUGAUCCAGCCAUGCCGCGUGUGUGAAGAAGGCCUUCGGGUUGUAAAGCACUUUCAGUGGGGAAGAAAGCCUUGGGGCUAAUACCCUCGAGGAAGGACAUCACCCACAGAAGAAGCACCGGCUAACUCCGUGCCAGCAGCCGCGGUAAUACGGAGGGUGCGAGCGUUAAUCGGAAUUACUGGGCGUAAAGCGCGCGUAGGCGGUCUGAUAAGCCGGUUGUGAAAGCCCCGGGCUCAACCUGGGAACGGCAUCCGGAACUGUCAGGCUAGAGUGCAGGAGAGGAAGGUAGAAUUCCCGGUGUAGCGGUGAAAUGCGUAGAGAUCGGGAGGAAUACCAGUGGCGAAGGCGGCCUUCUGGACUGACACUGACGCUGAGGUGCGAAAGCGUGGGUAGCAAACAGGAUUAGAUACCCGAGUAGU